AAUGAACGCUGGCGGCGUGCUUAACACAUGCAAGUCGUGCGAGGACGGGGGGCAACUCCCCGAGUCGAGCGGCGGACGGGUGAGUAACACGUGGGCAAUCUGCCCGAAAGUGGGGAAUACCCCGGGGAAACUCGGGAUAAUUCCGCAUGUGAUCCCGACUCUGAAAUGGGACGGGAGGAAAGGGGGUCGCAAGACCUCUCGCUUUCGGAGGAGCCUGCGCCCGAUUAGCUAGUUGGUGAGGUAACGGCUCACCAAGGCGACGAUCGGUAG
rnacentral:rRNA from 1 species